rnacentral:lncRNA from 1 species
ACUUCCAAAUCUCUUAUGGUACAUGGAAUGGUGAAACUUCCUGGAUCUUGAAGCUUAGGAGGCAAUAACUUUUGUAUGAUUGCACUACAAUUUCCUUGUACUUCAAUGGUCUCCUUGUCAGUGUACUUUCGUUUCUUCGUGAGAAGCUCCUUCAAAAACUUUGCAUAUGAAGGCAUUUGUUGCAAUGCUUCAAAAAAAGGUAUGGUGAUCUCCAACUGUUUUUCUUUCUCCUUCCUUGAAUAAGUCUUUGGAUAAGGAAGGGGUUUUUCAAACUCUUUCUCUUUUUUCUCUCAUCUACCUCUUUCUUUUUUUCUCCCUCAAUUCUCUCUUUUUUCUCUAAUCAACCUCUCUCUUUUCUUUUUCUACUCACUCUCUUCUUCCUCACUCAAAUUUUCUUUCUUUUUUCUCUCAAUUUUUUUCUCACCUAACACUUUACCACUUCUAGUAACAACAGUCUUACACUCUUCCCUUGGAUCGCCUCUCACAUUCCUCUCACACCCCUUCAUCUUUUUGAUCAAUUUCCCAAUGUGCAUCUCUAUUCUUGUGAACGUAGCCUCUAUGUUUUUGCCAUAAGCUAAACUCCUCUUCAUGGUUCGUUGGAAAAGUUCUUCAAGCUUUGUGUUCUUCUUAGGUGGAGUGAUUUUCUACUGCCACUGAACUAGUGAAACUGUCUGUAUUUCUUGUUGCAAAAGAGAAAGUUUAUGUAUUACUUCUUCCAACUGUUG